rnacentral:rRNA from 1 species
AACGUAGGAGCCUAGCGUUAUCCGAAUUCACUGGGCGUAAAGCGCGUGCAGGCGGUUCGGUGAGUUGGAUGUGAAAUCUCCUGGCUCAACUGGGAGAGGACGUUCAAGACUGUCGGACUAGAGGACGGUAGAGGAAGGUAGAAUUCCCGGUGUAGUGGUGAAAUGCGUAGAUAUCGGGAGGAAUACCAGUGGCGAAGGCGGCCUUCUGGGCCGUUCCUGACGCUCAGACGCGAAAGCUAGGGGAGCAAACGGG